rnacentral:rRNA from 1 species
AUUGAACGCUGGCGGCAGGCCUAACACAUGCAAGUCGAACGAGUGGCGGACGGGUGAGUAAUGUCUGGGAACCUGCCUGAUGGAGGGGGCUAACUACUGGAAACGGUAGCUAAUACCGCAUACCAUACGCUCUGCCCAGAUGGGAUUAGCUAGUUGGUGGGGUAACGGCUCACCAAGGCGACGAUCCCUAGCUGGUCUGAGAGGCUGACCGGCCACACUGGAACUGAGACACGGUCCAGACUCCUACGGGAGGCAGCAGUGGGGAAUAUUGCACAAUGGACGCAAGCCUGAUGCAGCCAUGACGCGUGUGUGAAGAAGGCUUUCGGGUGGUAAAGUACUGUCAGUGGGGAGGCGUUACCCGCAGAAGAAGCACCGGCUAACUCCGUGCCAGCAGCCGCGGUAAUAC